ensembl:snRNA
GUGUUUUAUAGGAGAAAAGAAUGGUAGCACUCUCCUGGAUAAGAAUGGAAGAAGUUUUCUGGCCUUUACAACAUAUACACAUAAGGCAUUGCCACCUACUCUAUGGCAUAUAACCAUUCUUC